rnacentral:rRNA from 1 species
AGCGAACGCUGGCGGCAGGCCUAACACAUGCAAGUCGAACGAACUCUUCGGAGUUAGUGGCGGACGGGUGAGUAACACGUGGGAACGUGCCUUUUGGUUCGGAAUAACUCAGGGAAACUUGUGCUAAUACCGAAUGUGCCCUUCGGGGGAAAGAUUUAUCGCCAUUAGAGCGGCCCGCGUCUGAUUAGCUAGUUGGUGAGGUAACGGCUCACCAAGGCGACGAUCAGUAGCUGGUCUGAGAGGAUGACCAGCCACACUGGGACUGAGACACGGCCCAGACUCCUACGGGAGGCAGCAGUGGGGAAUCUUGCGCAAUGGGCGAAAGCCUGACGCAGCCAUGCCGCGUGAAUGAUGAAGGUCUUAGGAUUGUAAAAUUCUUUCACCGGGGACGAUAAUGACGGUACCCGGAGAAGAAACCCCGGCUAACUUCGUG